GACGAACGCUGGCAGCGUGCUUAACACAUGCAAGUCGAACGGAAAGGCCCUGCUUUUGUGGGGUGCUCGAGUGGCGAACGGGUGAGUAACACGUGAGUAACCUGCCCUUGACUUUGGGAUAACUUCAGGAAGCUGGGGCUAAUACCGGAUAGGAGCUCCUGCUGCAUGGUGGGGGUUGGAAAGUUUCGGCGGUUGGGGAUGGACUCGCGGCUUAUCAGCUUGUUGGUGGGGUAGUGGCUUACCAAGGCUUUGACGGGUAGCCGGCCUGAGAGGGUGACCGGCCACAUUGGGACUGAGAUACGGCCCAGACUCCUACGGGAGGCAGCAGUGGGGAAUAUUGCACAAUGGGCGGAAGCCUGAUGCAGCAACGCCGCGUGCGGGAUGACGGCCUUCGGGUUGUAAACCGCUUUCGCCUGUGACGAAGCGUGAGUGACGGUAAUGGGUAAAGAAGCACCGGCUAACUACGUG
rnacentral:rRNA from 1 species